rnacentral:rRNA from 1 species
UAUGGUAAUGUGCCCGCCGCCGCGGUAAUACGUAGGGGGCAAGCGUUAUCCGGAUUUACUGGGUGUAAAGGGAGCGUAGACGGCAAGGCAAGUCUGAUGUGAAAACCCAGGGCUUAACCCUGGGACUGCAUUGGAAACUGUCUGGCUCGAGUGCCGGAGAGGUAAGCGGAAUUCCUAGUGUAGCGGUGAAAUGCGUAGAUAUUAGGAAGAACACCAGUGGCGAAGGCGGCUUACUGGACGGUAACUGACGUUGAGGCUCGAAAGCGUGGGGAGCAAACAGG